UACGUAGGCAGCGAGCGUUGUUCGGAGUUACUGGGCGUAAAGGGUGUGUAGGCGGCCCUCCAAGUUUGGUGUGAAAUCUCCCGGCUCAACCGGGAGGGUGCGCCGAAAACUGGGGGGCUAGAGUGCGGGAGGGGAGAGUGGAAUUCCUGGUGUAGCGGUGAAAUGCGUAGAUAUCAGGAGGAACACCGGUGGUGUAGACGGCUCUCUGGACCGUAACUGACGCUGAGACACGAAAGCGUGGGUAGCAAACAGG
rnacentral:rRNA from 1 species